rnacentral:rRNA from 1 species
CAAGAGCGUAUAUUAAAGUUGCUGCGGUUAAAAAGCUCGUAGUUGGAUUUCAGUCUAGGAAGGUUAACUCGCCGAAAGGUUGUACGUUGAUUUUCCUCAGACUUCGUCAGAAGCUUGUGCUGCACUUAACUGUGUGGUACGAUGUUCUGACCUUUUACCUUGAGGAAAGUAGAGUGUUUCAGGCAGGCUACCCAGCUUGAAUACAUUAGCAUGGAAUAAUGAAAUGGAUCUCGGUUCGAUUUCGUUGGUUCUAGAGCUGAGGUGAUGAUCAAUAGGAACAGGCGAAGGUAUUCGUACUUGAGAGUGAGGAGUGAAAUCCGAUGAUCUCUUAAAGACGAUCCGAGGCGAAAGCAUUUGUCAAGGAUGUUUUCAUUGA